rnacentral:rRNA from 1 species
GUGAGUAACACGUGGAUAACCUACCUAUAAGACUGGGAUAACUUCGGGAAACCGGAGCUAAUACCGGAUAAUAUUUUGAACCGCAUGGUUCAAAAGUGAAAGACGGUCUUGCUGUCACUUAUAGAUGGAUCCGCGCUGCAUUAGCUAGUUGGUAAGGUAACGGCUUACCAAGGCAACGAUGCAUAGCCGACCUGAGAGGGUGAUCGGCCACACUGGAACUGAGACACGGUCCAGACUCCUACGGGAGGCAGCAGUAGGGAAUCUUCCGCAAUGGGCGAAAGCCUGACGGAGCAACGCCGCGUGAGUGAUGAAGGUCUUCGGAUCGUAAAACUCUGUUAUUAGGGAAGAACAUAUGUGUAAGUAACUGUGCACAUCUUGACGGUACCUAAUCAGAAAGCCACGGCUAACUACGUGCCAGCAGCCGCGGUAAUACGUAGGUGGCAAGCGUUAUCCGGAAUUAUUGGGCGUAAAGCGCGCGUAGGCGGUUUUUUAAGUCUGAUGUGAAAGCCCACGGCUCAACCGUGGAGGGUCAUUGGAAACUGGAAAACUUGAGUGCAGAAGAGGAAAGUGGAAUUCCAUGUGUAGCGGUGAAAUGCGCAGAGAUAUGGAGGAACACCAGUGGCGAAGGCGACUUUC